AUUGAACGCUGGCGGCAUGCCUUACACAUGCAAGUCGAACGGCAGCACGGGAGCAAUCCUGGUGGCGAGUGGCGAACGGGUGAGUAAUACAUCGGAACGUGCCCAAUCGUGGGGGAUAACUACGCGAAAGCGUAGCUAAUACCGCAUACGAUCUACGGAUGAAAGCAGGGGAUCGCAAGACCUUGCGCGAAUGGAGCGGCCGAUGGCAGAUUAGGAGUUGGUGAGGUAAAGGCUCACCAAGCCUUCGAUCUGUAGCUGGUCUGAGAGGACGACCAGCCACACUGGGACUGAGACACGGCCCAGACUCCUACGGGAGGCAGCAGUGGGGAAUUUUGGACAAUGGGCGCAAGCCUGAUCCAGCCAUGCCGCGUGCAGGAUGAA
rnacentral:rRNA from 1 species